GAUGAACGCUGGCGGCGUGCCUAAUACAUGCAAGUCGAGCGAAUGGAUUAAGAGCUUGCUCUUAUGAAGUUAGCGGCGGACGGGUGAGUAACACGUGGGUAACCUGCCCAUAAGACUGGGAUAACUCCGGGAAACCGGGGCUAAUACCGGAUAACAUUUUGCACCGCAUGGUUCGAAAUUGAAAGGCUGCUUCGGCUGUCACUUAUGGAUGGACCCGCGUCGCAUCAGCUAGUUGGUGAGGUAACGGCUCACCAAGGCAACGAUGCGUAGCCGACCUGGGAGGGUGAUCGGCCACACGGGGACUGAGACACGGCCCAGACUCCUACGGGAGGCAGCAGUAGGGAAUCUUCCGCAAUGGACGAAAGUCUGACGGAGCAACGCCGCGUGAGUGAUGAAGGCUUUCGGGUCGUAAAACUCUGUUGUUAGGGAAGAACAAGUGCUAGUUGAAUAAGCUGGCACCUUGACGGUACCUAACCAGAAAGCCACGGCUAACUACGUGCCAGCAGCCGCCGUAA
rnacentral:rRNA from 1 species